GGCCUCCAGGACUCCCAUAAGUCAUCGGGGCCUAGCACAGCAGGGAACGCGUCACCACCCUGAUCGGCCAGAGCUAGCACUGGGCCCCACCUGCUAUUCACUGCUCAGAACUUCACCCCGAGUAGCUGUCUGCUGUCUGCCGGAGCUUUCUGUGAACCGCUGAUGUGUGUGUUCCCCUGAUCUCUGCAGGCUCUCUCAACCUCCUUCUCAGUUCACUGGGCAAACGCUGCUGUAGAUUCCGGACGUGGUUGGUGGUGAGCAUGGGGUGGGGUGGGGGGUGGGGUCCCCUCCUUAGGCCACGCCCCCAGCCAAAGCGAGCAGGCCUUGGCCAGGGACCCGACUCAGGGCCUCCGAGGGGGUGGACUGAGCUCGGAGAGUUGGGCUCAGCUGGGUAAGCGGUCAGCGCCGUCCGUGCCUCGGCCUGGCCCACUGCUCUUCUAUGGACCGCAGCUCGUCUACCUUCUCUCACCAGCCUCUUCCUGCUCUGUCUGUCUUACGUGUUCGUCACCCUGAGUCGGGCUGCGCAACCUUCAUUCCAAAACAUAGAUCCGCACGCAUCCCUUGAAGAUCCUCACUGCCUGUAGCACGAAACCCCUUCACCCAGUGCCCACUGGGGGUGCAGGCGAGGGUGCGGCCCAUCUCUCAUCUAUCCAAGCUGUCAUCUCUCUCCCGACUCUCACCCCGCCCACACUCACUGCGCUCAGUCUCUCUUCUGCCCCCUGCUGACUCCAGGGCCUCUACAGCCUAGACCUGUGCUCCCUCACAGGGUAGCUUUUGCCCGGACUCCUCUGCAACUCCGGCCUUGGAGGUGGCUGUGGGUCCCUGCCACUCCCUCGCUGAGCUUUCCCUGACUCCCAGUGGAUGAAAUGAGUGGUUUCCUUGGCAGAGCUUCCCCAACAGUCUUCUUCCAAGGGUCCUGGGACUUCUGGUUCAUGAUCAGCUGGAGACAGGUGAGCCCUGCACGAGCUCCCGAGGCCUCAGUCCAUGCUGACCUUGCCCUUUGCAGAGAGGAGUCAUCUCCGAGGGCACGAGGUGGGUUUGGGAGCUUUCUG
rnacentral:lncRNA from 1 species